rnacentral:tRNA from 1 species
UCCCUGGUGGCUCAGAGGUUAAAGCAUCUGCCUGCAAUGCGGGAGACCUGGGUUCGAUCCCUGGGUAGGGAA